GACGAACGCUGGCGGCGUGCUUAACACAUGCCAGUCGAACGGAAAGGCCCUGCUUUUGUGGGGUGCUCGAGUGGCGAACGGGUGAGUAACACGUGAGUAACCUGCCCUUGACUUUGGGAUAACUUCAGGAAACUGGGGCUAAUACCGGAUAGGAGCUCCUGCUGCAUGGUGGGGGUUGGAAAGUUUCGGCGGUUGGGGAUGGACUCGCGGCUUAUCAGCUUGUUGGUGGGGUAGUGGCUUACCAAGGCUUUGACGGGUAGCCGGCCUGAGAGGGUGACCGGCCACAUUGGGACUGAGAUACGGCCCAGACUCCUACGGGAGGCAGCAGUGGGGAAUAUUGCACAAUGGGCGGAAGCCUGAUGCAGCAACGCCGCGUGCGGGAGGACGGCCUUCGGGUUGUAAACCGCUUUCGCCUGUGACGAAGCGUGAGUGACGGUAAUGGGGAAAGAAGCACCGGCGAACUACGU
rnacentral:rRNA from 1 species